GAACAUACAUUGACAGGGAAGAGUAAAGCCGAAAGCUGUUUUUAGAGAGAGAAAUCAUUUGCUGAAAGAUUUCUUAAACAAGCUCGCUUGAAGGUCGCCCUCGAGUAAUUCUCUUGAACUUGAAGUAGAGAGAAUCGGCAUGAACGCCGUUAUCCCAUUUGAGAGCAUAGGCUUAUUUUCGCCUAUGAAAAAAGGUGGCACCGCGAAAUCAACUCCUUUCGUCCUUUUA
rnacentral:ncRNA from 1 species